rnacentral:rRNA from 1 species
AGUGAACGCUGGCGGUAGGCCUAACACAUGCAAGUCGAACGGCAGCACAGUAAGAGCUUGCUCUUACGGGUGGCGAGUGGCGGACGGGUGAGGAAUACAUCGGAAUCUACUUUUUCGUGGGGGAUAACGUAGGGAAACUUACGCUAAUACCGCAUACGACCUACGGGUGAAAGCAGGGGAUCUUCGGACCUUGCGCGACUGAAUGAGCCGAUGUCGGAUUAGCUAGUUGGCGGGGUAAAGGCCCACCAAGGCGACGAUCCGGAGCUGGUCUGAGAGGAUGAUCAGCCACACUGGAACUGAGACACGGUCCAGACUCCUACGGGAGGCAGCAGUGGGGAAUAUUGGACAAUGGGCGCAAGCCUGAUCCAGCCAUACCGCGUGGGUGAAGAAGGCCUUCGGGUUGUAAAGCCCUUUUGUUGGGAAAGAAAAGCAGCAGGUUAAUACCCCGCUGUUCUGACGGUACCCAAAGAAUAAGCACCGGCUAACUUCGUG